AUUGAACGCUGGCGGCAGGCCUAACACAUGCAAGUCGAGCGAGCGGCGGACGGGUGAGUCAUGUCUGGGAAACUGCCUGAUGGAGGGGGAUACCUACUGGAAACGGUAGCUAAUACCGCAUACCAUCAGAUGUGCCCAGAUGGGAUUAGCUAGGAGGUGGGGUAACGGCUCACCUAGGCGACGAUCCCUAGCUGGUCUGAGAGGAUGACCAGCCACACUGGAACAGAGACACGUGCCAGACUCCUACGGGAGGCAGCAGUGGGGAAGAUUGCACAAUGGGCGAAAGCCUGAUGCAGCCAUGCCGCGUGUGUGAAGAAGGCCUUCGGGUUUUAAAGCACUUUCAGCGGGGAGGCGUUACCCGCAGAAGAAGCAGCGGCUAACUCCGUGCCAGCAGCCGCGGUAAUAC
rnacentral:rRNA from 1 species